AUGCUGGAGGUAUCAGAAGUGCGAAUGCUGACAUAAGUAACGAUAAAGCGGGUGAAAAGCCCGCUCGCCGGAAGACCAAGGGUUCCUGUCCAACGUUAAUCGGGGCAGGGUGAGUCGACCCCUAAGGCGAGGCCGAAAGGCGUAGUCGAUGGGAAACAGGUUAAUAUUCCUGUACUUGGUGUUACUGCGAAGGGGGGACGGAGAAGGCUAUGUUGGCCGGGCGACGGUUGUCCCGGUUUAAGCGUGUAGGCUGGUUUUCCAGGCAAAUCCGGAAAAUCAAGGCUGAGGCGUGAUGACGAGGCACUACGGUGCUGAAGCAACAAAUGCCCUGCUUCCAGGAAAAGCCUCUAAGCAUCAGGUAACAUCAAAUCGUACCCCAAACCGACACAGGUGGUCAGGUAGAGAAUACCAAGGCGCUUGAGAGAACUCGGGUGAAGGAACUAGGCAAAAUGGUGCCGUAACUUCGGGAGAAGGCACGCUGAUAUGUAGGUGAAGUCCCUCGCGGAUGGAGCUGAAAUCAGUCGAAGAUACCAGCUGGCUGCAACUGUUUAUUAAAAACACAGCACUGUGCAAACACGAAAGUGGACGUAUACGGUGUGACGCCUGCCCGGUGCCGGAAGGUUAAUUGAUGGGGUUAGCGCAAGCGAAGCUCUUGAUCGAAGCCCCGGUAAACGGCGGCCGUAACUAUAACGGUCCUAAGGUAGCGAAAUUCCUUGUCGGGUAAGUUCCGACCUGCACGAAUGGCGUAAUGAUGGCCAGGCUGUCUCCACCCGAGACUCAGUGAAAUUGAACUCGCUGUGAAGAUGCAGUGUACCCGCGGCAAGACGGAAAGACCCCGUGAACCUUUACUAUAGCUUGACACUGAACAUUGAGCCUUGAUGUGUAGGAUAGGUGGGAGGCUUUGAAGUGUGGACGCCAGUCUGCAUGGAGCCGACCUUGAAAUACCACCCUUUAAUGUUUGAUGUUCUAACGUUGACCCGUGAUCCGGGUUGCGGACAGUGUCUGGUGGGUAGUUUGACUGGGGCGGUCUCCUCCUAAAGAGUAACGGAGGAGCACGAAGGUUGGCUAAUCCUGGUCGGACAUCAGGAGGUUAGUGCAAUGGCAUAAGCCAGCUUGACUGCGAGCGUGACGGCGCGAGCAGGUGCGAAAGCAGGUCAUAGUGAUCCGGUGGUUCUGAAUGGAAGGGCCAUCGCUCAACGGAUAAAAGGUACUCCGGGGAUAACAGGCUGAUACCGCCCAAGAGUUCAUAUCGACGGCGGUGUUUGGCACCUCGAUGUCGGCUCAUCACAUCCUGGGGCUGAAGUAGGUCCCAAGGGUAUGGCUGUUCGCCAUUUAAAGUGGUACGCGAGCUGGGUUUAGAACGUCGUGAGACAGUUCGGUCCCUAUCUGCCGUGGGCGCUGGAGAACUGAGGGGGGCUGCUCCUAGUACGAGAGGACCGGAGUGGACGCAUCACUGGUGUUCGGGUUGUCAUGCCAAUGGCACUGCCCGGUAGCUAAAUGCGGAAGAGAUAAGUGCUGAAAGCAUCUAAGCACGAAACUUGCCCCGAGAUGAGUUCUCCCUGACUCCUUGAGAGUCCUGAAGGAACGUUGAAGACGACGACGUUGAUAGGCCGGGUGUGUAAGCGCAGCGAUGCGUUGAGCUAACCGGUACUAAUGAACCGUGAGGCUUAACCUUACAACGCCGAAGGUGUUU
rnacentral:rRNA from 1 species